rnacentral:tRNA from 1 species
GGAUUGUGGCUCAGUGGCAGAGUACUUGCCUCACGUGUAUCAGGUACUGGGUUUGAUCCUCAGCACCA